UGAAAUGUAAUUUUACAGAGUUAUUGUCAGG
rnacentral:piRNA from 2 species